rnacentral:rRNA from 1 species
GAUGAACGCUGGCGGCGUGCCUAAUACAUGCAAGUCGAACGCAUAGCGAAAGGUGCUUGCACCUUUCAAGUGAGUGGCGAACGGGUGAGUAACACGUGGACAACCUGCCUCAAGGCUGGGGAUAACAUUUGGAAACAGAUGCUAAUACCGAAUAAAACUUAGUGUCGCAUGACACAAAGUUAAAAGGCGCUUCGGCGUCACCUAGAGAUGGAUCCGCGGUGCAUUAGUUAGUUGGUGGGGUAAAGGCCUACCAAGACAAUGAUGCAUAGCCGAGUUGAGAGACUGAUCGGCCACAUUGGGACUGAGACACGGCCCAAACUCCUACGGGAGGCUGCAGUAGGGAAUCUUCCACAAUGGGCGAAAGCCUGAGGGAGCAACGCCGCGUGUGUGAUGAGGGCUUUCGGGUCGUAAAGCACUGUUGUAUGGGAAGAACAGCUAGAAUAGGAAAUGAUUUUAGUUUGACGGUACCAUACCAGAAAGGGACGGCUAAAUACGUG